UGGGGGAUAUUGCACAAUGGGCGAAAGCCUGAUGCAGCGACGCCGCGUGGGGGAUGAAGGACUUCGGGGUGUAAACUUCGUUUGCUCUGAACAAGGCAUGCUAAUGGGUGUGUUGAGUGUAGGGGUUGAUUAGCGCCGGCUAACUACGUGCCAGCAGCCGCGGUAAUACGUAGGGCGCAAGCGUUGUCCGGAAUUAUUGGGCGUAAAGGGCUUGUAGGUGGCUGGUUGCGUCUGUCGUGAAAGCUCAUGGCUUAACUGUGGGUUUGCGGUGGGUACGGGCUGGCUUGAGUGCAGUAGGGGAUGCUGGAAUUCCUGGUGUAGCGGUGGAAUGCGCAGAUAUCAGGAGGAAUACCGGUGGCGAAGGCGGGUCUCUGGGCUGUUACUGACACUGAGGAGCGAAAGCAUGGGGAGCGAACAGG
rnacentral:rRNA from 1 species